rnacentral:lncRNA from 1 species
ACAAAAAGGGACGGAUAUUAUCUGUCCAGAUUUAUCAACAUUGCGUUCUACAAGUUGUACACAUACUAACAUCGGUAAUGCUAAGGAUAGGACGCUCGGAAUAAAAAAAUCGGACGGUUCGAGAUAUGUUUCAAUAGUUGAUUUUCGAUGUUGCAACUAUUGUUUUUGCAUGUUUCACUAUGAAUGUUGCAUGAUGCAUAGUGUUCAUAUUGCGGUGAGAAUUUUUCUAUCCCACAAUUAAACGACUUAAGUAGAUUUUUUGUAUAUUUUUAUCACACCCUGAAAUUUUCAAAUUUCAGAAUGUGAAUAAAGAGAAUAAUUAAACAACGAUUUUCUCCAAAUUUUAAAUUUUUUCCCACCUUUAAUUUUCUUUACAGGAAAUCUAGUAUAGGAAAAAAAAUAAUUAUUUGCUUUUCAGAAUUUAAUAAUGAUGUUCUAUGUCUGAGCAUUCAUGCCGAUGCAUAUGUUAUAUUUGUUUGAGUGCUUUUGAAUUUAAAAAUCCGAACAUAAGAUCUAUUUCAAAAUUCAGCUCUAUUCAAAAUUCUCAAAACUUCUCUAUCUCUCUUUCUCUCUCUGAGCCAAAAGCCCUUCUUUUUUUUUUGGCCCGACUCCCCCUCCUUCUCUUCAGCCCAGCCGGCCGCCCACCCUCCUUCUCUU